rnacentral:rRNA from 1 species
AUUGAACGCUGGCGGCAUGCUUUACACAUGCAAGUCGAACGGUAACGGGCCGCAAGGUGCUGACGAGUGGCGAACGGGUGAGUAAUGCAUCGGAACGUGCCCAGUCGUGGGGGAUAACUACUCGAAAGAGUAGCUAAUACCGCAUACGAUCUAUGGAUGAAAGCGGGGGACCGUAAGGCCUCGCGCGAUUUGAGCGGCCGAUGUCAGAUUAGGUAGUUGGUGGGGUAAAGGCUCACCAAGCCAACGAUCUGUAGCUGGUCUGAGAGGACGACCAGCCACACUGGGACUGAGACACGGCCCAGACUCCUACGGGAGGCAGCAGUGGGGAAUUUUGGACAAUGGGCGCAAGCCUGAUCCAGCAAUGCCGCGUGCAGGAAGAAGGCCUUCGGGUUGUAAACUGCUUUUGUACGGAACGAAACGGCUCUGGUUAAUACCCGGGGCUAAUGACGGUACCGUAAGAAUAAGCACCGGCUAACUACGUG